rnacentral:rRNA from 1 species
GACGAACGCUGGCGGCGUGCCUAAUACAUGCAAGUUGAGCGCUGAAGGUUGGUACUUGUACCAACUGGAUGAGCAGCGAACGGGUGAGUAACGCGUGGGGAAUCUGCCUUUGAGCGGGGGACAACAUUUGGAAACGAAUGCUAAUACCGCAUAAAAACUUUAAACACAAGUUUUAAGUUUGAAAGAUGCAAUUGCAUCACUCAAAGAUGAUCCCGCGUUGUAUUAGCUAGUUGGUGAGGUAAAGGCUCACCAAGGCGAUGAUACAUAGCCGACCUGAGAGGGUGAUCGGCCGCAUUGGGACUGUGACACGGCCCAAACGCCUACGGGAGGCAGCAGUAGCGAAUCUUCGGCAAUGGACGAAAGUCUGACCGAGCAACGCCGCGUGAGUGAAGAAGGUUUUCGGAUCGUAAAACUCUGUUGGUAGAGAAGAACGUUGGUGAGAGUGGAAAGCGCAUCAAGUGACGGUAACUACCCAGAAAGGGACGGCUAACUACGUG